rnacentral:rRNA from 1 species
AACGAACGCUGGCGGCAGGCUUAACACAUGCAAGUCGAACGCAUCGCAAGAUGAGUGGCAGACGGGUGAGUAACGCGUGGGAACAUACCCUUUUCUACGGAAUAGCUCUGGGAAACUGGAAUUAAUACCGUAUACGCCCUACGGGGGAAAGAUUUAUCGGGGAAGGAUUGGCCCGCGUUGGAUUAGCUAGUGGGUGGGGUAAAGGCCUACCAAGGCGACGAUCCAUAGCUUGUCUGAGAGGAUGAUCAGCCACAUUGGGACUGAGACACGGCCCAAAAUCCUACGGGAGGCAGGCGUGGGGAAUAUUGGAAAAUGGGCGCAAGCCUGAUCCAGCCAUGCCGCGUGAGUGAUGAAGGCCUUAGGGUUGUAAAGCUCUUUCACCGAUGAAGAUAAUGACGGUAGUCGGAGAAGAAGCCCCGGCUAACUUCGUGCCAGCCGCCGCGGUAACAC